AGCCGUGAAGAAAGGCGUGUUAGGCUGUUGGAGUAAUAUCAUUGACAGUGAUCUAAAACAAAUGGAUACAUUAUUUUCUAGCUUCUCGGGUAGCUCUAGGAGUUCUAGUUCAAGGUUUGAGGAUAAAGAGAAGAAAAAAUCAAAAAAAUAAAGAAAUAUUAUUAGUAGCCGAUAUAGAUAAUAGUUCAAGUAAUUGGAAGUUAUCACCAAUCUCUGCAAAUCUUAUUUAUAAGUUUAAUACUAGUUUUCGUUUAAAGUCUAAUUAUGUGGUAAAAAAU
rnacentral:misc_RNA from 1 species